GCCAAAAUUUUAGCCCACCCUAACCCUAUGAACCCUAUAUACCUACCCCUCCCCCAAACAAAACAUUCUUACACUUUAGUAAAGGAGAUUGAAAAAUUAAUUGAAGCAAUAAAAAAAGUACCGCAAGGGAAAAAUGAAAUAACAAUGAAAUAACCUUCAAGCACAAAAAAGUAGAGUUAUUCCCUCGUACCUUUUGCAUCAUGGUUUAACUAGUCUAAUCAAGCAAAAAGAAUUACAGUUUGACCCCCCGAAACUAGACGAGCUACUUCAAGGCAGCUUUAUGAGCAAACCCGUCUCUGUAGCAAAAGAGUGGGAUGACCUUCAAAUAGUGGUGACAUACCUAACGAGUCUAGUGAUAGCUGGUUACUCAAGAAAAGGAUCUAAGUCCAACCUAAAACUUAUUCAAUCAAUGAAAAUACCCAUUAAGUUCUAGAGCAAUUCAAAUAAGGUACAGCCUAUUUGAUACAGGAUACAACCUCCACUGAUGGGUAAAAAUAUUAAUAAUUCAACCAAGUAGGCCUAAAAGCAGCCACCUUUUAAAAAGCGUCAAAGCUCAAUUGUCUCAACUAUUCAAUUCCUCCAACUCCAUUAAACCCUCUACUACUAUUGAGUAAUUCUAUACACCUAUAGAACCUAUUAUGUUAAAACUAGUAACAAGAAGGACACCCUUCUCUUAAAUGUAAGUGUAAAUCAGAAAGGAACACCCACUGAUAUUUAACGCCUAUGAAAAUCUAUUAGCAACUCCAACAAGAAAACCCUAAUAACACCUACGUUAACCUAACACAAGAACAUCUCAAGAAAGAUUAAAAGAAAAAGAAGGAACUCGGCAAAUAACUACCCCGACUGUUUACCAAAAACAUCGCCUCUUGUGAAACUAUAAGAGGUCAAGCCUGCCCAGUGACACACAGUUCAACGGCCGCGGUAUCCUAACCGUGCUAAGGUAGCGUAAUCACUUGUUCUUUAAAUGAGGACUAGAAUGAACGGCACUACGAGGGUUAUACUGUCUCCUUUUUCUAAUCAGUCAAACUAAUCUCCCCGUGAAGAAGCGGGGAUACACCUAUAAGACGAGAAGACCCUAUGGAGCUUUAAAUUUUAUUACACUGCUUUAUUACAUCUUUCAAGUCUAAGACUCUCUACAAUUUCUGCAUUUUGAUAAUAAAUUUUAGGUUGGGGUGACCACGGAGAAAAACAUAACCUCCACAUUGACAAAGGCCUCUACGCCUUGAACUAAGAGCCACAGCUCCAAGAAAUAAUAUAUUAACAUUCAUUGACCCAAUACCUCUUGAUCAACGAACCAAGUUACCCUAGGGAUAACAGCGCAAUCCACUUUAAGAGCCCCUAUCGACAAGUGGGUUUACGACCUCGAUGUUGGAUCAGGGUAUCCCAGUGGUGCAACCGCUACUAAAGGUUCGUUUGUUCAACGAUUGAAACCCU
rnacentral:rRNA from 1 species